AUCGCUGCGUUGGCCUGCAGUCGGCUGCGAUCACUCAGACCGCUCAGACACAGCUGCAGACAAACACAAACACUCUGAAUUAUCUGUUGUCUGUUAGAACCUGAUGAGGUGUCUGACAGCAGUAUCAAACUGCAGCAGGAGGACCUGCCUGCGCAGCUGCAGCAGACGGCCGACAGACUCUGGGCUGCUGGGAUCAGACAGACUGUCGACCUGACGCUGGAUCUCCAGCAGCUCUGCUCCUGUACGCCACCCAGAGAGGACGACACAUGCAUGUAACGUGAUUACUGUGAUUGACUGUCAACAUACAGGUUUAUAUUGGUCUUUUAUUGGAUACUAAACGAGCUGAGAUUCAACAGAUGUUCUUAACUGACCAUGAAAGCUGUCUGUAAAAUAUUUUGCUCAUACAUUUUGGCUUCGUUCACACUCCAGACACAACACAACCUGUCAUGUAUGUUCCCUAUCAAUUAAUUAUGUAACUUCUUUAACUCUGGAAUAUAACCUUAAAAUUCCCCAAA